AACCCAUGUUGCGGACACUUCCGCAAGAGGUCCUUGAAUCAUUCCCAAGUCUCAAAUAAAGAUUCAAGCUAUAUACGAACAAAUGAAGAUAUCUCAUUAGGAAGCUU